UACUGAACUCAGCUAAUUGCAACUCUUCUUCUUCUUCUUACUCAAAAUGGCCUUCUUCUUCUUUUAGAAUUAAACCAAACCCACUCGUUCUACUGGAAGCGGAGGUCUAGAUUUGGUUGAUUUGGUCUAGCUAUCGGAUGACAAAAGGAUGCCGACGUCUAUUGCAACAAUACCCCCUGGCUCUGUGUGAGUCUCUUCAACAACAUAUGGUGCAAACUUCAUGUCCUUGCAAUUGAAAUCUGGGUGGCCAUCUGAAUUGGAAAUUUAGAGGUCAUUUAUCAAAUGGACUUGUCAAAGAAUCAUUUCUUUGGUGGUAUUCCAAGUGAGAUCGGUGCUCUCCAACAGUUGAUAAUUUAUCUCUCUUUGGCACAUAAUAAAUUCCAAGGACCUAUACCAGGUUCAAUUGGGAGCACCUGGAUCUCUCCAAUAGCAUACUCUCUGCUGUGAUUGCCAAGAUUGUAAAUGGUCCUCUGCAAGGAAUUUCUCCUUCUAGUCUGUUGUAAGACAGACUUGGGAACAGCUCUUUUAUGCACAAUCUUGGACCCUGCGGAGCUCCUCAGCUAGGCUUCAAUAAGAUUUCUGAAAUAUGUUUUACCGGCUACAGCUUCAGCAAUAUUGGUACUAGCCCUUGUAUAUGUGCUGGCAAGGCGGCAAAGAAAAAAGGAGAACAGUCCUUUCUCUACUCAACUGGAUUUGCUACAUAUAGCAACAUAUAGAAGGUUUUCAUACCAGGAACUCAUGCAGGCUACAAAUGGAUUAGACGAAAGUAACCUACUUUUGGAUAUAGAGGGAUGCUUGGUAUGGCUGCUGCAGUAAAGGUAUUCAAUUUGCAACUAGUUUUGACGCAGAAUGUGAAGUUCUUUGAAGCAUUCGUCACAGAAAUCUUAUCAAAAUUAUCAACAGCUGUGCCAAUGUUGACGUCAAAGCAUUGGUGAUGGAGUUCAUGCCCAAUGGAAACCUUGAGGCAUUGUUGCACUCUAAUUCCUAUUGCUUGGAUAUGCUACAGAGGUUAAACAGCUUGGUAGAUGUUGCACUUUCUUCGGAAUAUCUUCACUACAAUUUUGUUUUGAUUUUCAUGAUUUCUCUACAUUUUUUAUGUUAUAUGCAGAGUCUGGAUCACAGGGAAUAGCGUCUUAUGGAAUCAUGUUGAUGGAAACAUUUACAAGGAAGAAGCCCACAGGAGAAAUGUGCUUGAAAGAUUGGGUAUUAGACUCAUUGCAGAGUGGUGAGAUGAUGGAUUCCAAACACAAAUGAGAGUGAUCUCGCAGCUAAUGUGUAUAAUCUGUCAUGAGUUUGGCUUGUGAAAUGAGGAUCAACAUUUUACACAGGCUGAAGAAAAUAAAGGACAAGUAUGAAAAGAACAUGCAAGCCACUUGCAAAUUACCAUAAAAUCUUUUCUUUUUCUCUACAAAAGUGGAAUUCUUUUUGCUUCUAUAAUGGUUAAGCUACUAUAUAGUCUCAACUUAUGCUUACGUAAAACAAUUUAUUCCUCUAAAUUCUGGAGUGUACGAACUAGAUUUAGGAAAAGUGGUGUCCUUUGUAGUGCUGUGCAUCAGCUUCAAUAUAUAAUUGAAAUGAAAAUUUUUAUGAACUAAA